UCUGACACUAAUCUGAGAAGGGCCUAAGCAU
rnacentral:piRNA from 1 species